GUCCUCGUAGCUCAGCUGGAUAGAGCAUCCGCCUCCUAAGCGGAAGGUCGUUGGUUCGAAUCCAAUCGAGGACGCCA
rnacentral:tRNA from 1 species